UAAUGAUGGUGAGGACAAUCUAUGAGAAGACCCUUAAACCUUUCCCAGGCCUGAUAUAAAUUCUCUCCAUUUUUCUGCCCGAAUGACAUGAUCUCUCUUCGGAGGCG